CAGAACAUCCGAGCACUGCGGGCACACCUGAAACUAAAACCACACCAGAGCACAGUUCUGGAGGUGUCUGAACUGCUGCAAUUACUCUGCUUUCACAAAGCCUCUUAGCAGGUUUCUCCACCUCAUGCUCGAUGCCCUGUUUAGGUUUCUUAUCCAGGAUGGCUAUCACAGCAAAACUGGAACAGGAGCAGAAGACAGCGCAUUGCAAGUGGCCCUUUGGCAACCUGCAGGGCUCACACUUACAGCUAAUACUCUGAGCGCAGGUAGGGUGGCGAACACAACAUUAAGACUAAAUAAAAAAACGAUUUAUAUUAUCCCCCGCUGAGGUCUGAAGCUGGGAUAGGUAAUUUGUUCCAAAUGGAGGAGGAACACUACAGACUACAGUGCUCCAGGCUUUUCUGGGUCUUGAUCGUUUAACUCAUCCCGGGGUUUCUUCACAUAACCUGACCUCCAGUUGUUUUUGAACAAAAGAGGUAACUGCUGAAGAUUGUUGAGAAGACAGAAAGGAGACAACCCCUAAUUACUGGUUGAUUUCAUCUGGAACUGCAUUAUAGUCAGUACUUAGCAAGAAAAGAGACUUAAAGGAAACAUCAGUUCUUAAACCAACACAAACAUCAGCAUUUUUGUUCUUUAUUAACUCAAAACGUUUUAUUUAAGAGCAGCAGGCCUUGCAAAAUAAGGAACAAUCUAAAAAGAACCCCUGUUGACAUAGACAGAUUCGAUUUGCUCUGAUAAAAGACAAAGACCCGCGAAUCUUGCAAUGUAUCAUUUGCUUCCAAGGACAGCAACAUAUAACCUGUGAUUUUAAUGAUUGUCCUGCCACUGAUCAUUUUGAGAAGCACAGGAAAAAGUGCAGUUAAGCUAAAUAUUAUUCUCUUACCCUUCCAGAGCACAGUAUUUCAUUUAAGUCAUUCAGGUAGAGGUAGUUUUGAGAGUAAGUAGUAGAUUUGAAAGCUUGUUUGUAGUUUUUUGAGCUCCAAGACUUCUGCAUAAUUUAGGCUAGUUCACAUUUCAAAAACUUUUCAGAAACUUUAAGAUAUCAUACACAUUUUAAAUAUUCAGCUUAAAAUAAAGCUGCUGCAGGGUCCGGUUCUGACUUUGCAUAUAUCAGUACUUUUGAAUCAAGACAAAUUUCUCUUGAGAGAGAAUCUUCUUUCACCACUCAAAAUAAUUAUAUUGCCACCAUUCAUAUUAAGAGAAAAAGACAGAUGGCCUUUACCCAGAGAUGCUCUGGUGUGCCCUUACAGAGUUAAUUGGAGGACUGACAUCUGAAAGAGCUCUCUAUUUCCCAGGACUCAUUUUCUCUUUAUUCAUACUAUACCAUCCUGAAAGACAGAAACAUUUAACAGAUGCUCCCCAGACAUGCAUUGUUUUUCCUAAUAUUUUCACGCUGUGGUAUAGCAAUCCUGCCCAAAACCUCACCACAAGCAGCAUCCUGAACAUAAAAUAUCUACUGCCAGCAGAGGAAGUUGUCUGUUUCCCUCUUACCUAAAAGAAUUAUCAGUGCAUACCAGGAAACAGUGUCAGAUGUGCUCAUCAGUCACAAGUAAUUACAGAUCCCUAUCAUCAUUGUUUUUCCACCCAGUCACCUUAUCUCUGACAAGACACAAAAAAAACUUCUACCGUUGUGGGAAGGAUUUGUCCCAAGUUUGCUGUCAGAAAAAUAAGGAUAUAAUGUGUAAGAGCCCAAAUGUUUUUACUCUUGUUUAUAAAUAGCAAGAAAUUGGACUUUUUUUAUUUUCAUUUCAUCAAAUGUAAACUUCACUAGCUUGUAGGCACCUCUUCACAAUUGUUUUUUAAAGAAAUAUGUAAUGUUGCUUUCUUAAUGUAGCUUUUGACUGGUUUUUGUAUCUAAUUAAAACCACAUUCCAAUGUAAGUCCUCAUGAGUCAGAGCUUUGCCCAGUGAUCCAUCAGGAGAGACACUCGAGCUUAUGCCCAUGCAGUGCUUCACUGCAGAGGAACCUAAUUAAAUUAACUGUAUAAAUUGAGUGACCAUAUGGAA